GGGGCCAUUAGAGAGGUAGAUCUAUAUUUUAACAUAGGGAAUAGGGGCCAUUAGAGAUAGGGGCCAUUAGAGAGGCAGAUCUAUAUUUUAACAUAGGAAAUAGGGGCCAUUAGAGAGGCAGAUCUAUAUUUUAUCAUAGUGAAUAGGGGCCAUUAGAGAUAGGGGCCAUUAGAGAGGCAGAUCUAUAUUUUAACAUGGGGAAUAGGGGCCAUUAAAGAGGCAGAUCUAUGUUUUAACAUAGGAAAUAGGGGCCAUUAGAGAGGCAGAUCUAUAUUUUAACAUGGGGAAUAGGGGCCAUUAGAGAUAGGGGCCAUUAGAGAGGCAGAUCUAUAUUUAACAUAGGGAAUAGGGGCCAUUAGAGAGGCAGAUCUAUAUUUUAACAUAGGGAAUAGGGGCCAUUAGAGAUAGGGGCCAUUAGAGAGGCAGAUCUAUAUUUAACAUAGGGAAUAGGGGCCAUUAGAGAGGCAGAUCUAUAUUUAACAUAGGGAAUAGGGGCCAUUAGAGAUAGGGGCCAUUAGAGAGGCAGAUCUAUAUUUAACAUAGGGAAUAGGGGCCAUUAGAGAGGCAGAUCUAUAUUUUAACAUAGG